AUUCAUAGAGCUUGUGAAAGUAUUUUAUUUACAUUAAAAAUAUCUAUAGAAUUAUAGUAUGAAUA
rnacentral:tRNA from 1 species